AGUACCGUAAAAGAAGAGAGACUGUUUGCUCUGAUUAUCUUAUGUGUUUUGAAUGCACCGCUCAACUCGCAUGGUCCCACGUGGGGUACCUAGUUCUCAGCAGCCAAUCAGAAGCUACGCAGGCCGCGCUCAGCCUGUCGGCUCGGAGAGGAAGUGCAGUCGCGUUGCUCUUCCGGUCUUUUCGGAUCUCGGCCAGGGAAGCGAGGGCAGCUGUGUGUUGAGGUGAAGAGGAAAACCAGAGAAAAAAACCCAGAGUGAAACCUGUGAAAAAGGAAAAAGAGUCGGAGCACUUACCCAGUGGAGGUCCGGAGCCAAGUGGCUGAACGAAGGAGAGUUACGUCGGCUAACUGCUUGCCUGUCCUCCGGAGAGCUGCUACGAGGUUCGGCAUCGGCAUGCUCCACCUUGACACACAGAGCAACGGUCAGGUUUUUUAGAGGACUGGAGAGUCUGAGGUUCAGGACAACUUCCUGCUGUAAAAGAUGGCGAGCCAACUACCCUGAUUGAAGAUUAGCACCGAGGAGAUAUUCACGUACACACUCAUUCACACAAAUAAUACACUCACAUUACACUACAAGGAAUCUUGGAAUCAGGUGAACUUGCAACAACUCCUUUUAUUUUAAGGGCCCCAACAGACAAUUUUGUUUUAAGUGUGCACACUACUUUUUUUAUUUUUCUUACUGUUUGGUAUGAUAUUUUGCAUUUUGUACGAACCAGACAAAUUACUUUGUUCACUGUAAAAUAUAAGAGUGGCUACUCAAUUGUUA